AGUGUUUGCUUGUCGUUAACACCCCACUGCUUUGUAUAACUUUCGUAGCAACCAUUAUUUGUCUUACAUAUUGUUUGCAUUUUUAUAUGGAUUUUCUCCAAAUUAAGUUCUGAUUCCAGUUUUAUAUGACUUGGAGAAAAAGAAACUUAAAAUUAUUGGAUGUCAGUAAUAAGAGCCAAACAAUAUUUUAGAGAAAAACUAAUAUGUUAAAAAAAAACCCCAAACAUUACCAAGCUUUACUAGGGAAAAUGCAGGACAGAAUCAGCUUGUAAAAGCCAUUGCUGAGGUGAGAGCCGUCCCGAGUUGCUGGCCCGGUGGCCGCCAGAGGCAGGGACGAGAGGGAGAGUGGACAACAGAGACCUGGGGCCGCCUCUGCCCCGGCCCGGGCGGCGGGUGUUGGUGCCAUGGGAGCUGACUUGCUGAAGGGAUGUGUUGUGUUGUGUUCUUUAUCGGCAUUAAUAGCAGUUGUGUCUUUUCAAGCAGCAAGCAGGUGCACUAACGUGAGAUUGUUUGGUCCUUCCUCCUCCAUCGGAGAGCACUGGUAAAAUAACAUAUUAUGUAGAGCUUCUCACUGAGGGGCGCCUGGGGGGCUCAGUCAGGUGAGCGUCCCACUUCGGCUCAGGUCGUGACCUCACGUUCGUGGAUUCAAGCCCCACGUUGGGCUCUGUGCUGACAGUUUGGAGCCUGGAGCCCGCUUCGGAUUCUGAGUCUCCCUCUCUCUCUACCCCUCCCCCACUCGCGCUCUGUCUCUCGCCUUCAAAAAUAAACAUUAAAAAAUUUUUAAAAAUAAAUAAAAUAACUCACUUUUAACUUGAUUUCACUUCAUUACCCAAUUUUUAUGAGAACGCUGAGUUUGGUAGGAAUUGUCACUAGAUUCGUUUUCUUAACAUUGGACAGAAGCUACAUCAGAAGGAGGUAGUCGUGGAAUUUCAUCUUGGAAAACCCAUUUGAAGGCAUUCUGUUCACACACAAAGUUCAUAGACUGAAUUAGGCCAACGGGAACUGGCCAACCCCAGGGCGUGCGGGAGAACAGUGUCGCCGACUCUCUGAGGUGUCGCCAGGACAGAGGUUCUGACGGUUUUACACCUGAGCCCGCAGGUGGACGCAGGUGAUGGAGGGCAUCCUUGCCCGGAGAAAGGGGGCCCCAUGAUGCUUCUGAGGACACCUGGCUGGGAGAAAGGGCCAGGGCGGAGGCGGAGGUGGGGUCCGGAAGCAUUUUAUAGUUUGUGAAGCUUCUCCAUCUGAUAGCCAGUCAUUUGCAAAAUCUGGGAUUGGACCUGGAGACCCAUCAGCCUGGAAGAAGGGCUUCAAGCGAGGAAUGGACGACUCAGCGUUUGGAAGGAUGUCUUUUCCAGGUACCUAGUAGCUCCCUGGUGUUGACCUUAUUAGGUUAAGCUGUGUAAAAUUACCAGCACGCAGCUGGUUUUGAUCCGUGAGAAGGGCAACUUCAUAUGAUCCAGCCAAAUAUGUGUUUCAAAGGAAGGAUUGAACACACACGCCAACCCUACCUCCCGCCCCCUUCCUCCCUGCCUUCUUCCUGUCUUCUUUCUGACAACAGUUUGGUUAGUGCUGACUUUGUUUCAGGCCCUAAUUCAAAAUGACCUGUCAACUUGUUUCUUCCCUAUGUUCCCAGCCCAGCGUAAUUUUGGCUGCUGUUAGUAGCUUCACGGGGACUUCUGAGCACCUGGGGCCGCUGACCCAGGGCGUCUGGGGUCCGGGUUUGUUGGGUGAGUGAAACUCACACUCCCUGGGUGAGUGACUGACUGCUCUGCCACUGGGCCCUGGGUGUGGCCCUCGGGCCAGGAGAACCUCUCCUGCUCACUGGGAGCCUGUUGGCGUCACAUGCACACUUCACCUGAGGGUUUCAACAGAGGACUAAUUGAUGGAGCUUAGGCAUAGGAUAGGAGGACCAAGGUCCCAGAGGAACAAGAAUUGAAUGGAAGUAAAGCAAGCAACACUAGAGAGAAGUAAUGAGUUUGAGUAGGAACCAAGGUGGCUGUGCAACUGUGAGGUUGACGGUGAGAAAAUCGAGGCCACAGAGGGAAGGUGGCCCUCACAGGCUUCCCAAGGAAGAUGGGGACAGGCAGGGCAGGGUGGUGGGAUGGCGGCGUGCCCUGGCAUGGGCGGACGUGAGGGUGGGCCCUCCACAGGUCAUGUGCCCAGGAGUCAGGGCAGGGAGCCCGGUGCCCAUGGACCUAGGUGCACAGCAUGCGGGACCCUUCUAUCCAGAUCAGCAUCAGUGCAGGCUAUGGGGUUCUGCAGGAAGACAUUUCAUUCCACUGUUGGCACUGACAUUGACAUCGUCACAGGAGGAAACAGCUCUUCUGUUCACUUUCUGGUCGGUUGUGGUGGGUGGAGUCCAUGCUGACCCACGUGGAAUCCGGGAGCCUGCCGGCUUCGUGGCUCUGGCACGUCCGCCGCUGACACCCUUGAUGUCAACACGCGGUUCUCUACCUGCAGACAUUAAGGGCCGUUGUCACCUGUCAUUUGAAUAGCAGUGGCACCUGCUUACAGACAGAAGCUCGGAGUUGAAUCGUGGGUAUGAAGAUUAUAGUGACACGGCUGGAUGAGGAGGGGAGGAUGCAAAUUGUCUUUUCCUUCUGCAAUGCAAGAUUCCGCCAAGACAGUCUCCACGUUUAAGCCUUGGCCCUCCUGGGCGGUAAUGCCGCCCUUAUCUGACACCGUGCUUGUCCGUGGCCUCUGCUGUUCAGCCCUUGUUGCCAUGUGUUCUCGAGUGGGCCUCUCGGUGCCCUCCUGAAAAUGCCUCCUUUGACCCAGACCUCAGGGCACCUUCUGGUCCUGCAUCCUGUUCCUGUCCCCCACAGCAGCCUUUCCAUAUGUGACCCUCUUCAGAGAAUGCCCAGCAGCCGCCUGUUCCCCAGAGAGCACUGUGUGUCCAUGGCUCAAGUAUUUACCAGGCAUCAAGAAAACAGUAAACUUUCCUCCAAAACCCUGAAACUUUGCUUUCAGACCUGCGCCGGAAGUGCCCUGGCACGCCAAGUCACAUUCCAGUGGUAGCGGAUCAGCCCGGGGUGGCUCAGAUACAUUACAAGUAGAUGAGAAAAUAUGAAAACAAAAGGCUUCCUAAGUGAAACCAUACUGGUUUUUCUUCCACUGUGAAAUAAAUAAAAUAAUGUUUUUCUUUCAUAGA